GACAAGGUGGAACGUGCGUUUUGUGAAUACAAGAAUCAGUUUUAUAAACAAAAUCAAACAUGGUCAGACGGAUGUAUUAGAAAUUGUACAUGUACAGACGCCGUAAAAGGAAUGUAUACGUGCCAAAGCGUGUGUUUGGACUUUAGCGCAUUACCAAGUAUCUGUCAUUUGGAAGAUACUAAAAUAGAGCCAUAUUAUACGUCAUUUUUGUGCUGCAAACAGCCCAGGUGUCCUAGUGGUAUCACCAUCAACAUUCCAAAGGCAUACAGGAACCUAUAUCCAGGAUACACAUAUGUUUAACUAAACAUACAUACAUUUCCUUUGUUAUGUUAAUUGUUAAUCAUGAAUUGGAGUUUUAAAAUGUAUGUAUUUCCGUAAACAUUGAAUUAAAAACAAAUUGUGUUAAUGGAUGAAAAACGAAUUUUAUUAGUUAAUUAACAUAAUUGUUGAGUCAAGUGAUCACAAUUUUAAAGGUACGACAUUAAAGGUAUUAUGAGAUACAUACUCCAGACUGCAACAGUUGGCCUAUUGUGUUGAGGUUAACAUACUACAGACUGCAACAGUUGGCCUAGAGUGUGGAAGUUAACAUACUACAGACUGCAACAGUGGG
rnacentral:lncRNA from 1 species